AAUUCUUUUUUAGGCCGACAUGCCUGAAUAUUAGUGGUAAUGAAGUCGGACACGUGAUCCGUCUUAAGACCAAUCCGAGAACCAAAAGUUACGUCUUUUCACGUACCCGUUUCGUAUGAUUGGAGAAGAUGUUUUACGGGUCCCACUCUGUGCUCCAAUCACAAAAUAGGUAGAUGUGCAGGGGAUACUUUAACUUUUACAAAGACUGCGGUAGCGCGGGUUCCGAGGGCUGUGAAGUUAUUGCAGCCGGACAAUACAUCUGGAAUCCGGCGAGAUGGCCGGGAAACGGGGCCGGUCUCUUGAUAGAAGAGGUGGUAGUGGAGUCUUGUUCAGCAAUCUCCGCCUCCGAAGGCCCAAUGGUGACGAGUGCUCGCGUUUCCUCCCCUUCUUCAGCUUUAUCCUACCUCCUCUUUCUAAAUGCUCCUCUUUUCCUUGCUUUGUUUGAUGCUUGCUGUAGUUUGAUCAGCACUUAAGCGUGCAUAAAUGAGACCUUUUUUCUUCAUUGUUGUGCUUCCUAAACUAAAUCAUUGGGAAAUCUAGUAGUCUACAUGUUCAUGUUUUCCUCCGUGACUUUCUUAGUUGUUAUUAUUGUUUCUGUCCUAAGGCUUAGAAAUUAAUGCGACUUCCUUUAGAAAUUAAGGAAGCAAAAACAAGUGUGCAGGUGGCGCAUGGUGUAAAGGAUCUUUCUUCACUUAAUCUCACUUUUUCGUAGUUAAUAGCCACUAAACUUACCGAAUCCAUUCUGAUGUAGCUUAUGCAAGUAUUCCAAGUACGAUUGUGUUUAUCUUUUGACACUCAUUACUAAAGUCAACUCACCUUAUGCAUCUAAUGAAGACGUCCUAUCUUUCAUGGUGUUCUUCCUUUGAGCUCUUGUUUUUCUGUUGUAUGUUAUUGCUGGUGUGAGUAGACUAUGUUUGACAAGAUGCACCUUUUGUAAGAUCCAUUUAAAUUGAUCAACAUUCCCUUAUCUUUGUUGGCCAGAUACCAUUUCCUCUGAAUACAUGCAUUGUACGUGUUCUAUCCCACAAGUCAAACUUGCUAAGCUGUGAUCAAUCUUCUUGUAUUGUUUUGCUGAAUUUGUUCAACAUCUUAUAAUGGCACAGUGUUUAGAAUAGGAAACUUUUCUUUUCUUGGAGAGCUAUGAGGACUCAAGGCAAGGAGAUCUACAGUUAAUUUGCACAAUCUGGUAACUAAAUUUCGAUUUGUUUGGUACCAAACUUUGGAAACUUAAAUCUUUGGUUCUUAACUCCCUUAUGGAUCAUAUUCAUGCUCGGUAAGUGAAGCAGGCAAAGAGGGAUCUUUGCAUUGAAUGUAUUAGGGUUCUGUCCUAUGUAUAAUUGUGACAAAAUAUGAGGACACACCGUUCAUAUUGGGCAUUUACAUUUCACUAAAGAGCAUGACACUUGUAUCUUUAACCAUUUUCAUUCUUGAUUCUUUUUUAACAUCUUUUCAGUCAGACUCUUCUGUAGUUCUGGCAGCAUGCAGCCUUACAUCUGAAGAAUCAAAUAACCAUCCAGCUGGACACCAUGUACCGAACUGCAGCACAAAUGGAGAGAAUAAUCAUGAAGAUGAUGUUUCUUCCCCUAAUCCAUCAGAACCUGAUAUAUCUGAUGCAGAAGAAAAAACUGUUCCACUUUCUGGAAAACCCUUCUUUUCAAUCAUUAUGUCAAAGUCUCAAGUCCAGCGCCCAUAUCAACUGGCAAUUCCAAAAAAAUUUUGGCCACAUCUUCCAAACACUUGUGUCCCUUUAACACUUCACUUCAAGAAGAAGAUAUGGGAGAUGAGAUAUUACGGAGAUCGAGCCCAGAGAAGAUUCGAUGGUGGAUGGAAACAUUUUGUGAAUGAUAACAAUUUGAAGAUUGGUGAUUGCUGCUUCUUUGAACUCAUGGACGAUACGGAUUUUACAUUUCGGGUUCAACUUCUUAGAGGAGAUCUCCCAGCUGAAUGUCUUAAUAACGGUCUAAGUUCCGAUAGACCUAUUUUGAUAGACUAGAAUCCAAAUGCAUCAAUACCUGGUUUCUCUGUAGCAGACAUAUGGUCCCAGAACUCAGUAAGUUAAUGGAAAUCAGGAUCUCUUUCAACAAAUGGGAACCUUGUAAUAUUUUAAUACUAAGGUAGUGAUCAGCUCAUGCAAUGGAAUUUUGAUGGGGAUGUUCUAUGUAUGGUUGUUGUUCUACAUGUUCAAGUGUGUAAUGUGUCUUCAAACUAAGAUGGUGGUCAACUCAUGCAAUGCGAUUCUAAGAGGAAUGGCUUAUGUCUGGUUGUUAUUCUCAGUGUUCAAGUGCUCUCUGUGGCUUGCUGCUCCUCAUUCUCCUGAGUUGAUGAACACACUAGUACUAUCUCGGUGUUCAUUUUACCUCCUUUCACGUAUGAAUCUUAAAACUCUUGCAUCAGAAGAAGGCCACCAAUGUGCAUCAGUUAUGCCCACAGCAUGCAUACUAGAGACAAGGUGAAUUGUUAUGUUCAUUGUGACUAAAAUCUGUCUAAAUUGCUUCCUGCUGCGGCUACAAAGCAGCAUUAGUCAUCAAGAUGGAUGAAAAAUACAUGCAAAGCAAACUGCUAAAUCUUUACAUUUCUUCCUUAUGUGAGCACCUACUAAUGAAGCAAUUGAUGAGUUGGUAGAACAGCAAAGGGUAUGCAGGUUGGUGAGAUUUUAUAUUGGAUUCGUAUGAUGUUGCAUGUUGGCACCAUUAGAAUAAUGCCUAGGCAUGUUGGAUUGUACUCUUACAAUCACAACAAGAACAGGAAAGUGUUCAGAUUGCAUGCAAAUGAUGAGCAAGACUAUGUCAUGUUGGGAUAAUGAUUCCAAUGCUACAUGAGUUUAUUCCUUUGUUCAUCUGUGCAAGCAUGACAAUGUUACAGUGGUUCCCUUAUUAGCAACAUCCUCUAAAAUGCUACAUGUUUUCUGACUUGUAAGUCCAUUUUUGUAAACACCCAGAUCCAUAUUUUUCUAUGCUAUUUAUUUAAUUCUCCAAUUAAAGAACUCUAAACAACAUUUUAGAGUAAGAAUAUAAUAAUUUCUAGAAAAGAGUGAAAAAUACUAUAGAUGAUAGCUUGUCAAAAAAAAAAAAAGUAUUUAUGAAGAAAAUUAGUUUGAAGUGUCCUGUUUAGUGGUAACCAAGAAAAUCAAGUAAUUUUCAUGCUUUUAACAUAGAACUAAAUCAUUUAAAUAAGAACCACAAAAAUGAACAUUAAAUCAAUUUACAGGACCUUGACUCUUCAUUAAUUAGGGUUGGUUGCAUAGGUUAAGCAUUAGCUUGUGGCUUCAACUUAACUGCUGAUGCAGAAGCUGCUGAUCUCUUUUUUCUACUUAACUGGUCUUAUAUCAUCCAAUAAUGUAAUGUGAAGUGUAAUUAUGAAGCCAUUGACUGUCUUUCUAAAUAAAAUUCAAAGCUAAUUGCUAAUUGUGAAACCUCCUAUAGUACAGGUUUUUGUGAUGUACUGUUUGGGUUCCUUGUGUGCUGCCCAGAUUUCUUUAUGCUCCUAGGUUUUGAUUGAGUAAAUUAUAAUCCUAUGUUAUAAGUAAACAACAACAUUGAAGGCAGAAACUCAAACCCUUAGGACUACAUUACUCCUUAGGAGUAAAAAAAACAUAAAAUGUUAAAAGUAUCAACCAAGACUGCCCUUAAUCUUUUUUUUUCCUUGGACUUCAAGAUUCAUUUUCUCCCCUGAUACAAUGUUAGAUAAGAUAAUAUCUCAUAAUAUAUCAGGCAAGAAAAAUUAGUUUCAUCUUUUGUCCUCCAAGAGAAUGGAUGAUAUGCAACAAAGAGAAUAGAGUGAAUAUUGCAGAAAUGUUAGAUAAUGAUAAGCAACGAAGAGAAUGAUAAGCAAGAAAUAUUGCAGAAGAAUGACAGUAGAUGCAUGCUUUAGUUGAAAGAGAGUUGUAUUAAUCUAAAGUCAAUAAAGGAAGAUGUACCACAAGUACUUGAGUCAAAGAAUUGACAAUGUGAAGGGCAUGUUUCACUGUAUCUGCACAGAGUUUUUGUGCGUUUGAAGUUGGAACUUGAUGGCAUCGGUUCUCAGCAACUCAUACCUACCGAGAACACAUCUAGUGAACAUAUAUACUAUAAUAACUGAGUCCUUGUUUGCCAAGAAACAGUGUCAUGAUGAACCAGAGGAGUGCUCAAAGCUGCAACGCAAUUAAGAUUGCUCUUACCAGAGUGGUUCCCCUGUUUUGGAGAAAUUAAGUGCUAAUUCUUACAAAUUUCCAUUUCCAAAUCCUAUAACUUGAGUUCUUGAAUAGAUUUCCCCAGUUGAGGUUGACUUGAUUUCUUGGUGUGGCUAAGGAUGCAUUCAUAUUUUUAUUUCCAAUUCUUACAACUUGAGCUCUUGAAUAGAUUCCAGUUUAGGUUGACUUGAGAUUUCUUGUUGUGGCUAAGGAUGCAUUCAUAUUUCUAUUUCCAAAUCCUAAAACUUGAGCUCUUGAAUAGAUUUCCCCAGUUGUGGUUGACUUGAUUUCUUGUUGUGGCUGAGGAUGCAUUCAAUAUGGUGUUGGAAUCUGAAGAACCAGCAGAAAACAUCUUAAUCAGAGAAACUUUGUUUGUUCAGAGGAUGGAUCAUGAGCAAUCGAGGAUGCAUUCAAUCUGAAGAACCAGCAAAAACAUGUUAAUCGGAGCAACUUUGUUUCUUCAGAGUAUGGAAAAUGAGGAAUUGAGGAUGCUUUCAAUCUGAAGAACCAGCAAAAACAUGUUAAUCAGAGCAACUUUGUUUGUUAAAAGGAUGGAUCAUGAUGAUGACCUACCGAAAUGGAUCGACGCAUUUUAGUGAUUGCUGGUACGAGGCUUUCGGUGUUUGUUCAUGACACUAAAAAAUGUCAGAAGCAUAUCUUACCCCAACCAUGUGGAAGGAGACAAAAUAAAUCACAAGCUUAGCUCUCAUUUUGAUCCUCGGAAAAUGAAACCAAAUUCAGUGAGUUCGAUCGUAUAGAAAAGAAAUGUGGCUGUACAAAUGGCAAUGGAAAUCCGAGUUCAAAACAAAGAAAGUUAGUUGUGUUCUUUAGAAUAGCUAAAAUCAAAGAAGAAUUCACUGCUUAAUGAUGCAAACUUCACGUUGGAGAAUGAAAGAUAUGGCUCUCCAAACGUUGUAAUUCCCAAAUCAAAGAUGUUUUCAGCCAUUUCUGCUGAUUGAGAGGGAACUGUGGAUGGCAUCAGCCUCAGAGCAGCAAAAUAGAAGGUGAUUUCUUUAUCGUUGUUGGACAAGUAAACGCACGUAGGAAUUCUAUAGUUUUCUUGUUGAGGGAGCUUAGCAGCACAGCGGGAUCAAAGAGGAAACCGAAGACUGCCCCCUCAUUUCAUAUCAGGAAAAGAAAAUUGAAAGUUGCUUGAAUAUUAUUAUAUAUAUACAUUAUGAGGUUGAUAUGUGGGUGACGAAAGUGGUGACACAAAAGAAGAUCUACACAAGCUUUUGGUGAUGGCUUUAAGGUGGAUCCCAGUGGGAGGGUGAGAUAUGCUGCUGAAUGAUUGAUUACAUCUCAAAUGGUUGAUGAAUGGUUGGCACAGCUAACAUGAAAAUGACUGAAUAGCCCACAUUAUCUUUUCAAGGAGUGGUCAGUGGUGGGUGACACAUUGCUUGAUCCACAUGCUAAACUCCUCAUGACUAUACUGGUCUAACACACAAUAGAUUAGUUGUUUCAGAUGUUCAUGGUGAUUGAUGUGCACAAAACUCUUUCCAAUGGCAUUCUUGAGUUGCAGAAUUUUUUUUCUUGAAGGAUUUAUAACUGGUAGAGAUGAAUGCAUUGGCCGGUGAUAAGUUCCCUCAAAUAAAAAAAAAAAAAUUCCUCCACUCUUCAUAAUGUUUCAUCAUUCUGAUUUAUCUUGGCCUUUUGAGAGUUGAUGGUCAUCAAAUAUGAUAGAGAAAAUUAAAGAAUUGCUUCAUGGUUUUGAUGUUUAUGAGGUGGAAAUAAGAUAGUUGGCAGCACCAUUUCUUGGUGGAAGAAGACAGCUUGUAACAAGGAAGCAACAGCAAUGUGGAUGUUUCAUAUUUACCACUGAAAAAUGAGAUAAGCAAAUCCAAAAGUAGUACAAUACACUUGGCAAGAUGAAGUAGUUACCCUAGUAAAGAUCUGAUGGAGAGAAUAGCAUGAGAUCAGUUUGUCUCUGCAUCAAACUACUGAUUCAUUCUGAGCAGAAGAAAAAGGGUUCAGAUGUAGAUCAAUCAGAAUUUGGACAUUCUGAUCCAACUGCUACAGAAUCUUAGACUGAAAAGGAAAUCAUUAACCAGAACUCUGCUAUUCUUGAUUCUUUCUCAGCCACUUGCAGAGUUUGAGCUGAACAAUUAUGAUGGUGGGGUGGGGUGGGGUUUCUCAUGCUGAUACAAUAUAAAAUGCCUCUAACUACUGAUGCAUGCAGCCAUAAGAACACCAGGCCGUGAAGGCACUUGCAGCACUUCAUACGGCAACAAAAACAAGUGCAAGUUGAUCAGCCUACAAAGAUAAUUCUCUGUGGGUAAAAACCUGACAAUGGAUCUCCCAGCUUGCUUAAACCACUAACUUGCUCUGAUUAAUUAGAGUGAGUGCCGUGUCAAACAGAGGGAAACAAGUGCAUGAAUCUUCCUCGGCAUUGCCUUGCGGAAUCCACUGCCUUGUCAAGUGGCAUGGCGAACCUAAUCCUCAGCUACUCUCCUGCAGAGGUGUCAUCACAAAC